CGAGUACUACAGUCUCCGCGCCCUCCCGAUGACAAGCCCGGUUGCUGCCAUAUUAUCCCAUCCUCUGACAGUUUAUCACAUACUAACUGCCCUUGUUAUGAGCUCCAAGAACAGACUUAUAAAGGGAAAAGAAGUGAUUGUGCAUUACCUUGGCCCUGCAGGGGAGCUAGAUUGGAUGCCUGCUUUCUUAGAGAUCACCCAUUUGCUGAAUGGAUCAGGUAACAUGCAGAUAGUCAUGAUUGGGCCAGAGGUUCCAAGUAAUCUAUCAGGGACGGUGUCAGGGAUCAGUGGUAGAUUGAGAGUGAACUUGGUGAGAGGCAUCUAUCAGGAACAGGCCUCGUACCUUUCGUCGCCUCAUGCUGUCAUUGCUCUGAACUGUGGGUUGGAGAGCUAUGGGAGCUGGGGUGGUGCUCUUGAGUUGAUU
rnacentral:lncRNA from 1 species